rnacentral:lncRNA from 10 species
CAGCUCCUGGUACCACAGCCGCUGAGCUGGGAUGUCCAAACAUUCCAACUGACUCAUCCGUGGGGCUUAUUGCUGCUGCAUCAGAUGGGCUGCCUGAACAGUUCAGGACUUCCUUUCAUCGGACCCAGCCAGUGCCUUGCACAGAACCCAUUCCCAAGAAGAUUUGCAGUGUGAAAAUGGACCAUACUGUGGAAUAAGAGAGCAGAAAGUCAUCUAAUCUACUCCCCAGGCUUUAGGCAGCACGGUGUCAAAACCAACCUAGAUUUCCAGAAUAGAUCGUUCUACCACCUCCUCUGGA